UCUGCUGAAAAGGUAGCAUCACAAUUCUGUUAGACAAUUAUGCAGACAUAUGCAGGAUUAAUAAAAAUAUUCUACACAAUCCACUUGCUAACUUCCCUCCACUUUAUGGAUUGAGAUAUUUCUUUACCAUUUGAAUAUUCUGUUGCUGCCAUUGGGGAUGGUCUGGGAGGCUCUUCAACAUCUGCAAGCAAGUUGAAUACACAGUUGUUAAGCUUAAGUUGGAGGCCACAUAUUCUUCAGUCACAUCAAUUUAAAUUCUACCUUCAGCUGUUGCCUUGAGACGAGGAAAGGGUUCAUCUGAAUGGGAAGCACAAUAUUGAUUACUUUAAUGCUGAAGCUGACUUUACUAAUUUGAAAUUUGCAGAUGUACCUUGACGCUUUCUC
ensembl:lncRNA